GGAAAAACCACUUUAGUCCAUUAAUCUACACAGAAAAACAUCACUUUUAAGCGAACUGCUUUAUUUGGUCCCAGAAAAGCAGAGUUUUCACCCUUGUUCUCCUGAUUUGUAGCUCAAAUACCUUCAUGGCAAUGUUAAACUACAGGAGCAGCCAGUUAAAGAUAACUUCAGGAGAAUUGAAGAAAACCAACCGUUUAAAGAGUUAAAACUCAUUUAAACCUUCAGUAAAGUUCAAGUCAGACAAACUCAGAUUCAUGGUUUACUUUGGUCACAAUUCCAGUUUACUAGAUCAGCUGAGAACAGAACUCCAACCAAGGAAGGAGAGGUCUAGGGUUUAAUGGUCAGAACAAAUUCAGUAGAACUACUCAUCUACACAAGACGCUUUAGAGUCACUUUACUGUCAGGUUCUUCACUAUAGCUGCAUUUGGUCCCAGACACGGUGUCAUUUGUUCCAGGUCAUCCUCCAUUUUCUUACCUCUGAGCUGAUAAGAUGCAGGAGAAACACCUGAGAGACUUUAAACUACAGCAGCCAGAAUUAUUGGAACGGCUGCUUGAUAGUUUAAGAAAACCAGCUGUUUAAAGUCAAACUAAACCAGUUUAAAUCAAUGGCGUUAAAGUCAAGCACAGAUACUCAGAUUCAUGUUUACUUAAGGUUUAUUAAAGGUUACGUCGUAGUUUCUUGGAGGUUCUGCUGAUCAGUUCCACCUGCAGAAACAAAGAAACACAGCAGUUAGUCCCUGAACCAGCAGCUUCUUCUACACUCCAUGUUCCAGCUGCUUCUUACCUCCUUAGACCUUGGUUCCGGUUCCAGGUCCAGGUCCUUGGCUGGGAUCUCCUGGGUUCACCGGAGAGAAAAACGGGCCAAAGUCAUCUGGGGAGUAUUUAGAGUGGGAGAGGAGUUCUCUGGCUCGCUGGUAGCCGUUACUAGACUGGACGAUGUAGGACGUAGGACCACGAACAACCAAUGGGAAGGGGUCGGUGGGAAUGUUAUCAGGGAUCCAGACUGAGGGGUCUGGGAGACGGACAAACCUUGGUCUCAAGUCAUUUAUAUCGUAGGAGAACCCCUGUGGGUAGUUAAUCAAAGGAGUAAAUCCUGCAGAUCCAAAGGGCAAAGAACUGCUGAAGAAACCAGAGCCUCCUGAACCACCAGAUCCUCCAGAACCACCAGAUCCCCCAGAACCACCAGCACCAGCUCCUCCACCAGCUCCUCCAGUUCCUCCACCAGCUCCUCCAGAACCUGUUUGACCUGAAUCCAGACACAAACCAACAUGUUCACGGCUCUGAUCCACUCAUGUGGACACCAGCAGCUAAAUAAAUCCACAUCCAGCUGCUGGAGCUGCCUUCAGACACGUUGGGCUUCAUUUAAAGCUGCUUCAGGUCAACAUGUCUGCAGACUCACCUUUAAUUAGAAAAGGGUAACAAGCUCCAGAGCUGAGGAGCAGGAAGCAGAUCCAGAAGACCCUGUGGAGAGCAGAAAGCAGCCUGUAAAUAGCAGCACAUGGAAGCCCACCUGCAGCAUGAAGCGCAGCAGCUCACCUGAGAACAGAUUCCAGCAGCAUGUCCAGCUGUGAGAAGAAGCCGAGGCCACAGAGUUCAGCUCCAGCAGCCUCCUCACUGCUGAUCAACCUGCUGGAGCUGAACUCUGUGGCCUCGGCUUCUUCUCACAGCUGGACAUGCUGCUGGAAUCUGUUCUCAGGGUCUCCUGGAUCUGCUUCCUGCUCCUCAGCUCUGGAGCUUGUUACCCUUUUCUAAGUAAAGGUCAAACAGGUUCUGGAGGAGCUGGUGGAGGAACUGGAGGAGGAGCUGGCUCUGGUGGUUCUGGGGGAUUUGGUGGUUCUGGAGGCUCUGGGGGAUCUGGUGGUUCAGGAGGCUCUGGUUUCUUCAGCAGUUCUUUGCCCUUUGGAUCUGCAGGAUUUACUCCUUUGAUUAACUACCCACAGGGGUUCUCCUACGAUAUAAAUGACUUGAGACCAAGGUUUGUCCGUCUCCCAGACCCCUCAGUCUGGAUCCCUGAUAACAUUCCCACCGACCCCUUCCCAUUGGUUGUUCGUGGUCCUACGUCCUACAUCGUCCAGUCCAGUAACGGCUACCAGCGAGCCAGAGAACUCCUCUCCCACUCUAAAUACUCCCCAGAUGACUUUGGCCCGUUUUACUCUCCGGUGAACCCAGGAGAUCCCAGCCAAGGACCUGGAACAGGAACUGGAACCAAGGUCUAAGGAGGUGGAACUGAUCAGCAGAACCUCCAAGAAACUACAAAGUGAUCUUUAAUAAACCUAAAGUAAACCAUGAAUCUGAGUUUGUCUGA
ensembl:lncRNA